rnacentral:lncRNA from 1 species
CCGUCGCGACUAGUACCUGGGGUAAGUUUUCCUGAAGCUUAUCGGAACGUGUAGUUCUGUUGCCUCCUGCCAAAAGUCUGAACAGGAGUCGCCGGAAGUACGGUAGCUUGCCGGAAAUCCUCGCCGGGAAAAUAAGGCACCUGAUUGGAGAAUCUCUUAGACAAACAAGCAGUAAAGCUCAGCAAUUCCAGAAUAAAAUAGCAAAAUCAGCGGAAAUCGAGCGGCAAAUCCACGGCUCUUUAAUAGCUUGAAAUCACUGAUUACUCAAGUGCCAACUAAAGGACAAGAGAACGAAGAUGAAGCUCAGCGGAUCCACAGUACAGCAGCAAAACCAGCAAACUUGUAAUUCAAAAUAGCCUUCGAAAACCAAUUUAAUGACUCCUUUCAAUUCAAACAAUAAAAGAAACUCAAAACCCAAAAUGGGUUUGAUUCAAAAACCGAUCUUUUAACAGAAAAGUCCAAGAAUUUGCAGGAAAAAAAAUUGGGUUGAAAUAAUAGUAACUAAAAUUUAAAGAACCCCACUUUCUGAGAAUAGCUCAAUUAAUCAGAACUUUCUAAAGGGAGGGGGGAGGGGAGGAAUACGCUCACAAGAUUAGGGAGAGCUGAGCUGGGGUAGAGAGCAUAGAGGGAGAGCAUCAACUGUUUCCCGAUAAUAAACUAAACCUUCUUGCUUAACCCUAAAGUUGAUUGUAAUAUGUUUUACAAAAGGCAUGAACUGAUAUCGCCCAAGCUUGGACCUGCUAUCAUCUUCUCAAAAUCUAAGGAGUUACACUUCUAAGUUAUAUUUUUAGACCCUCCAAGCAGUUAGGAUACAUCAUUGCAUACUUUUAAUCACAAAAUAUGACAUACAGAUUCGAUUUAAGAAGCCCAAUAGCAUUUAAAUAAAAAAAAAGUAUUUUUGCAGAAAACAGCUGAAAUCGUA